CAAGAGCGUAUGUAAAAGUUGUUGCAGUUAAAAAGCUCGUAGUUGAACCUUGGGUUUGGUUGGCCGGUCCGCUUUUUUGCGAGUACUGGAUUCAACCGAGCCUUUCCUUCUGGCUAACCAGUCGUUUCGGCGGCUGGCGAACCAGGAUUUUUACUUUGAGAAAAUUAGAGUGUUCAAAGCAGGCAUUAGCUUGAAUAUAUUAGCAUGGAAUAAUAGAAUAGGACGUUAUGGUUCUAUUUUGUUGGUUUCUAGGACCAUCGUAAUGAUUAAUAGGGACGGUCGGGGGCAUCAGUAUUCAGUUGUCAGAGGUGGAAUUCUUGGAUUUACUGAAGACUAACUACUGCGAAAGCAUUUGCCAAGGACGUUUUCAUUAA
rnacentral:rRNA from 1 species